GCCUGACUGGCUCAGUCUGUAGAGCAUGUGACUCUUGAUCUCAGGGUCAUGAGUUCAGAAAGGCCCCAUGUUGGGCA
rnacentral:tRNA from 1 species